GACGAACGCUGGCGGCGCGCUUAACACAUGCAAGUCGAACGAGAAGCUCGGUGCUUGCACCGGGUGGACAGUGGCGAACGGGUGCGUAACACGUGAGCAACCUGCCCCGGAGAUCGGAAUAACCCGAGGAAACUCGGACUAAUACCGGAUGCCCUCCUCGGAUCGCAUGGUCCGGUGAGGAAAUGGUCUGCCGCUCCGGGAUGGGCUCGCGGCCUAUCAGCUUGUUGGUGAGGUAACGGCUCACCAAGGCAACGACGGGUAGCUGGUCUGAGAGGACGAUCAGCCACACUGGGACUGAGACACGGCCCAGACUCCUACGGGAGGCAGCAGUGGGGAAUCUUGCGCAAUGGGGGAAACCCUGACGCAGCGACGCCGCGUGCGGGAUGAAGGCCCUAGGGUUGUAAACCGCUUUCAGCAGGGACGAAAUUGACGGUACCUGCAGAAGAAGGCCCGGCCAACUACGUG
rnacentral:rRNA from 1 species